UAAUUGAAGAGUUUGAUCAUGGCUCAGAUUGAACGCUGGCGGCAGGCCUAACACAUGCAAGUCGAGCGGCAGCACAAGGGAGUUUACUCCUGAGGUGGCGAGCGGCGGACGGGUGAGUAAUGCCUAGGGAUCUGCCCAGUCGAGGGGGAUAACAGUUGGAAACGACUGCUAAUACCGCAUACGCCCUACGGGGGAAAGAGGGGGACCUUCGGGCCUCUCGCGAUUGGAUGAACCUAGGUGGGAUUAGCUAGUUGGUGAGGUAAUGGCUCACCAAGGCGACGAUCCCUAGCUGUUCUGAGAGGAUGAUCAGCCACACUGGGACUGA
rnacentral:rRNA from 1 species